rnacentral:rRNA from 1 species
UACGUAGGGUGCGAGCGUUGCCCGGAUUUAUUGGGCGUAAAGGGCGCGUAGGCGGCCACGCACGUCCGUUGUGAAAUCGCCCGGCUCAACUGGGCGGGGUCAGCGGAUACGGUGUGGCUCGAGCAAGCUAGGGGGCAAUGGAAUUCCCGGUGUAGUGGUGGAAUGCGUAGAUAUCGGGGAGGAACACCGGUGGCGAAGGCGGUUCUCUGGGCAUU